GUGGGGAAUAUUGGACAAUGGGCGCAAGCCUGAUCCAGCAAUGCCGCGUGGGUGAAGAAGGUCUUCGGAUCGUAAAGCCCUUUCGACAGGGACGAUGAUGACGGUACCUGUAGAAGAAGCCCCGGCUAACUUCGUGCCAGCAGCCGCGGUAAUACGAAGGGGGCUAGCGUUACUCGGAAUUACUGGGCGUAAAGGGCGCGUAGGCGGCUCUGUUAGUCAGGCAUGAAAUUCCUGGGCUUAACCUGGGGACUGCGCUUGAUACUGCAGGGCUUGAGGCCGAGAGAGGGUGGUGGAAUUCCCAGUGUAGAGGUGAAAUUCGUAGAUAUUGGGAAGAACACCGGUGGCGAAGGCGACCACCUGGCUCGGUUCUGACGCUGAGGCGCGACAGCGUGGGGAGCAAACAGGAUUAGAAACCCGGGUAGUCC
rnacentral:rRNA from 1 species